CAGCCGCCGCGGUAAUACCGGCGGCCCGAGUGGCGGUCACUAUUAUUGGGCUUAAAGCGUCCCUAGCCGGGUUGGGAAGUCCUCCGGGAAAUCUGGCCGCUUAACGGUCAGAAUGCCGGAGGAUACUCCCAGCCUAGGGAGCGGGAGAGGCCGAGGGGAUUCCCGGAGGAGGGGGGAAAUCCUAUAAUCCCGGGAGGACCGCCUGUGGCGAAGGCGCUCGGCUGGAACGCGUCCGACGGUGAGGGACGAAGGCCAGGGGAGCAAACCGGAUUAGAUACCCGGGUAGUCCUGGCUGUAAACGAUGCGGACUUUGUGUCGGACAAGCUAUGAGCUUGUCCGGUGCCGGAGGGAAACCGUUAAGUCCGCCGCCUGGGGAGUACGGCCGCAAGGCUGAAACUUAAAGGAAUUGGCGGG
rnacentral:rRNA from 1 species